CACCCCCAGUUCCUUUGGAGAACCACUGGUCUAAAUUCUGGCUUCUAUAAGACGCUCUAAAAUCCAUUUUCCGACUAAAGGGGCCAGAAGUGAGACCCUGUGAACGCAAUGGCUCUUACUCCCAGUGCCAUCCUAAAGCUGUCUACUCAGAAGUACUGAAUUCAGUGGGGCUCAUUUCCAGACAAAUGGGGUUAGGAUUGCAGCCUAUUCAUCUUUCCAAUCUGGAGCAUGUGAAGGAAACAGUCACGUUUAUGAAGGUGUAGUGGAGGAAAGGACCUAUCUCAAAUGGAUAGCGUCAGUGGGUGGA